rnacentral:rRNA from 1 species
UACGGAGGAUGCGAGCGUUAUCCGGAUUUAUUGGGUUUAAAGGGUGCGCAGGCGGUCUGUUAAGUCAGCGGUCAAAGCCCGGGGCUCAACCCCGGCCCGCCGUUGAAACUGGCAGUCUCGAGUUGGAGAGAAGUGUGCGGAAUGCGCGGUGUAGCGGUGAAAUGCAUAGAUAUCGCGCAGAACUCCGAUUGCGAAGGCAGCAUGCCGGCUCCACACUGACGCUGAGGCACGAAAGCGUGGGUAUCGAACAGG